rnacentral:rRNA from 1 species
UGCAGUCGAACGAGAAAGUGGAGCAAUCCAUGAGUAAAGUGGCGACCGGGUGAGUAACACGUGACUACCUACCCUUGAGUGGGGGAUAACCUCGGGAAACCGAGGCUAAUACCGCAUAAUAUCGAGAGAUCAAAGGAGCAAUUCGCUCUUGGAGGGGGUCGCGGCUGAUUAGCUAGUUGGUAGGGUAAUGGCCUACCAAGGCGAAGAUCGGUAUCCGGCCUGAGAGGGCGCACGGACACACUGGAACUGAAACACGGUCCAGACUCCUACGGGAGGCAGCAGUGGGGAAUUUUGCGCAAUGGGGGAAACCCUGACGCAGCAACGCCGCGUGGAGGAUGAAGCCCCUUGGGGCGUAAACUCCUUUCGACCGGGAAGAUACUGACGGUACCGGUGGAAGAAGCACCGGCUAACUCUGUGCCAGCAGCCGCGGUAAUACAGAGGGUGCGAGCGUUGUUCGGAAUUAUUGGGCGUAAAGGGCGCGUAGGCGGUGCGGUAAGUCACCUGUGAAACCUCUGGGCUUAACUCAGAGCCUGCAGGCGAAACUGCCGUGCUGGAGUAUGGGAGAGGUGCGUGGAAUUCCCGGUGUA